UCGCUUCUCUUCAUCAGUCUGCAAAGCAGAAAAUGCCAGAAUUACGAGGCUCCAGUAUCUGGCUCCACUCCCCGUCAGCAGCAACCCCUCUGCCAAAAGCCUCUCCUGGCAGCCCAGAGUGCUCGUGGGGAGAAGCCGAUCGCAGCACCAGCCAACAACCCGGAUCUGCCACUACAUACCACGUCAUCCCCGAUGGGGGCUGCUCUAUGCCAGGGGCACCAAGGACACCCCAACCCAACCCACAUUUUCAACACCUGGAACCCUCUUGCUGAAGCUCCUGAGGUUGCUUUCAUCAAAGGGUCCUGGAGAAAAGGAUGAGGGGAUGCCUGGAGGAGGAUGAUGAAGCAGGAGGUCUUCCUGGAACGAGGUGGGAAUGAGGUGCGAUUAGAAUCACCGAGAGGUCCCUGCUGGAGCAGGCAACCAGGGCUGAGAGUUAAGCAGACGGUCACACGAGGCGCAGGAUGAGGGGGACUGAGUGUAGGACAAGUAAGGCCGGGGCGGGCCUGGCUAGAAGGGCUGGAGCCAUCCUCUGGCUCUGGAAGGCACAGCUGUCCUCAGGGGCACCUGGAUCAUUGUUCCUGAUGGUCCGGGCAGGCUGCCCUGUUGGGCCAGGCAUAGUGAGAAGAUGACAGAGGGGUGGCGAUCCUGGGACGAGAUAAAUUGUUGACCAGUCGUGGGCUGUGGAGGGCCAGUCAGUGAGAGCAAGGGCUGAGGACAGGAGGUACGUGGUGUGCUCGGCCAUCUGCCAGAAGCCUGACUCUGGUGGCUGAACUCUGUGGGCCAUCUGGGGCUGUGGGAGAGUGGAGGACAUUUCUUGAGCGGCCAGCACUGGGACAAGAAUUCAGGUGUUCAGCGGGACCAAAAGAAAACCUACUCUUGGGGCUUGGGAGCCUGUCCAUCCAACUCUUACCCCUGGAACUGUUCUCACAGGGCAAACUGGGCCAGUCCCCCUUGUUGAUCUUGACAACUGGCCAGCAGCUGCCUCCCCUGUUCCGUUCACUUCUGUUCUGCUGUCUUGGCCGAGGCCUGGCAAUCACCAGCAGGGCCGCAGGGACUGGUUAGAAGCCACCUUGCCCUGCACAAAGGUGGAUCCAAGGCCCGGGCGACUGGAAGAACUAGGCCCCACAGCUAACGGCAGGUGACUUUCCCUGGAAGUGACAAUGACUCACUACAGCUCUCAACAUGGAAUCUCCACUUGGGGGCAGCAGGUACAUGGAGCUUCUCAGGCCCUAUUCGCUUUUGAAGACCACUGUUUGCCAAUGAAGUCCUCCGUGCCCAUGCCCCACUUCUAGGCCACCAAUGAGAUCUCCAUGCCUGGGAGACAGUCAAAGAUUCUACAGUGAAUCUCCAAUCAAGAAAAAGCCAUAUUCAAAAUGGAAUUAAGAAGCUGCAUCUUACCUGAGAAAAAUAUUCUUCUGAGAUACGUGCGGCCCACUCAAUGCACUGUUCCAGGGGUCGGCAGGGAUUGGACACAUCAGCAC